UUUCAAAUGUGAACAACAAAGAGUUUAUGUUUAAUAAUAAUUUAUUUUCAUUUUAGUUUAAUGAAAUUUUGAAUUAAUAGUAUGCACUUAGAGAGUUGGGGUUUGGUUUAGUGGGUUUGUGGGUUUUUUGGUUUUGUGAUUUUGGGUUGAACGAUUUUGGUUUUUGGAAGGGAAAAAGGGUUGAGGUGAGGGAGAGCAUCAGAG
rnacentral:lncRNA from 1 species